UACGCGAGCUGGGUUUAGAACGUCGUGAGACAGUUCGGUCCCUAUCUGCCGUGGACGUUUGAGAUUUGAGAGGGGCUGCUCCUAGUACGAGAGGACCGGAGUGGACGAACCUCUGGUGUUCCGGUUGUCACGCCAGUGGCAUUGCCGGGUAGCUAUGUUCGGAAAAGAUAACCGCUGAAAGCAUCUAAGCGGGAAACUUGCCUCAAGAUGAGAUCUCACUGGGAACUUGAUUCCCCUGAAGGGCCGUCGAAGACUACGACGUUGAUAGGCUGGGUGUGUAAGCGUUGUGAGGCGUUGAGCUAACCAGUACUAAUUGCCCGUGAGGCUUGACCAUAUAACACCCAAACA
rnacentral:rRNA from 1 species